rnacentral:rRNA from 1 species
AUUGAACGCUGGCGGCAGGCCUAACACAUGCAAGUCGCACGGAGUGGCGGACGGGUGAGUAAUGUCUGGGACACUGCCUGAUGGAGGGGGAUAACGUCCGGAAACGGGCGCUAAUACCGCAUACUAUCAGAUGAGCCUAGGUCGGAUUAGCUAGUUGGUGGGGUAAAGGCCUACCAAGGCGACGAUCCGUAACUGGUCUGAGAGGAUGAUCAGUCACACUGGAACUGAGACACGGUCCAGACUCCUACGGGAGGCAGCAGUGGGGAAUAUUGGACAAUGGGCUAAAGCCUGAUCCCGCCAUGCCGCGUGUGUGAAGAAGGUCUUCGGAUUGUAAAGCACUUUAAGUUGGGAGGCGUUACCCGCAGAAGAAGCACCGGCUAACUCCGUGCCAGCAGCCGCGGUAAUAC